AAUCCUAUAAUCCCGAGAGGACCACCAGUGGCGAAGGCGGUCGGCCAGAACGCGCCCGACGGUGAGGGAUGAAAGCUGGGGGAGCGAACCGGAUUAGAUACCCGGGUAGUCCCAGCUGUAAACGAUGCGAGCUAAGUGUCAGGAUGGCUUUAAAGUCAUUCUGGUGCUGCAGGGAAGCCGAUAAGCUCGCCGCCUGGGAAGUACGGCUGCAAGGCUGAAACUUAAAGGAAUUGGCGGGGGAGCACCACAAGGGGUGAAGCUUGCGGUUUAAUUGGAGUCAACGCCGGGAACCUUACCAGGGGUGACAGUUGGAUGAAGGCCAGAUUAAAGGUCUUACCAGACUAGCUGAGAGGAGGUGCAUGGCCGUCGCCAGUUCGUUGCCGUGAGGUAUCCCGUUAAGUCGGGAAACGAGCGAGACCCACGCCCUUAGUUGCAAAUGAGCUCCGAAAGGAACUCGUGCACUCUAAGGGGACCGCCGCCGAUAAGGCGGAGGAAGGAGUGGGCCACGGCAGGUCAGUAUGCCCCGAAUCCCUUGGGCCACACGUGAGCUGCAAUGGUUAGGACAAUGGGUUCUGACCCUGAAAGGGGAAAGUAAUCCCCAAACUAGCCUCAGUUGGAAUCGAGGGC
rnacentral:rRNA from 1 species